rnacentral:rRNA from 1 species
CCUACGGGAGGCAGCAGUGGGGAAUAUUGGACAAUGGGCGAGAGCCUGAACCAGCCAAGUCGCGUGAAGGAUGACGGCCCUACGGGUUGUAAACUUCUUUUGUCAGGGAGCAAUUGGGUCCACGCGUGGGCUUAGCGAGAGUACCUGAAGAAAAAGCAUCGGCUAACUCCGUGCCAGCAGCCGCGGUAAUACGGAGGAUGCGGGCGUUAUCCGGAUUUAUUGGGUUUAAAGGGUGCGUAGGCGGAAUAUCAAGUCAGCGGUAAAAAUUCGGGGCUCAACCUCGCUCCGCCGUUGAAACUGGCGUGCGUGGGUGGGCGAGAAGUAUGCGGAAUGCGUGGUGUAGCGGUGAAAUGCAUAGAUAUCACGCAGAACUCGGAUUGCGAGGGCAGCAUACCGGCGCCCAACUGACGCUGAAGCACGAAAGCGUGGGUAUCGAACAGGAUUAGAUACCCGGGUAGUC